rnacentral:rRNA from 1 species
GACGAACGCUGGCGGCGUGCUUAAUACAUGCAAGUCGAACGGAAAGGCCCUGCUCUUGCGGGGUGCUCGUGUGGCGAACGGGUGAGUAACACGCGAGUAACCUGCCCUUGACUUUGGGAUAACUUCAGGAAACUGGGGCUAAUACCGGAUAUGAGCUCCUGCUGCAUGGUGGGGGUUGGAAAGUUUCGGCGGUUGGGGAUGGACUCGCGGGUUAUCAGCUUGUUGGUGGGGUAGCGGCUUACCCAGGCGUUGACGGGUAGCCUACCUGAGAGGGGGAUCGGCGACACUGGAGCGGAGACACGGUCAAGACUCCUACGGGAGGCAGCAGUAGGGAAUCGUGGGCAAUGGGGGAAAGUCUGACGGAGCGACGCCGCGUGAGUGACGAAGGCCUGCGGAGCGUAAAACUCUGUUAUGGGUGAAGAACAAAUGUGUAAGUAACCAUGCACGUCGUGACGGUACGUAAUCAGAAAGCCACGGCUAACUACGUG